rnacentral:antisense_RNA from 1 species
UGUGGGAGCUGGCUUGCCUGCGACAGCGGUGUGCCAGUUAGCUCAGCAGUGACUGAGCAGACGCCAUCGCAGGCAAGCCAGCUCCCACA